rnacentral:rRNA from 1 species
AAUCAACGCUGGCGGCGUGCCUAACACAUGCAAGUCGAACGCGAAGAUCCCGCAAGGGAUUUGUAGCGUGGCAAACGGGUGAGUAACGCGUGGGUGACCUACCCUCGAGUGGGGGAUAACCUUCCGAAAGGAGGGCUAAUACCGCAUGACAUCCCGUGUUUGGAUACACGGAGAUCAAAGCCGGGGAUCGCAAGACCUGCGCUUGAAGAGGGGCCCGCGUCCGAUUAGCUAGUUGGCGAGGUAACGGCUCACCAAGGCUCCGAUCGGUAUCCGGCCUGAGAGGGCGGACGGACACACUGGAACUGAGACACGGUCCAGACUCCUACGGGAGGCAGCAGUGGGGAAUUGUUCGCAAUGGGCGCAAGCCUGACGACGCAACGCCGCGUGGAGGAUGAAGACCUUCGGGUCGUAAACUCCUUUCGACCGAGAUGAAGAGGCGCCGACCUAACACGUCGGCGUCCUGACAGUAUCGAGGAGCAGCCGGCUACUCGUGCAGCAGCGCGUAAUACGGGGGGCAGCGUUGUUCGGAAUUACUGGGCGUAAAGGGUUUGUAGGUGGCCGGCUAAGUCAGACGUGAAAUCCCUCAGCUUAACUGGGGAACUGCGUCUGGGACUGGUCGGCUUGAGGGCCGGAGAGGAACGCGGAAUUCCAGGUGUAGCGGUGAAAUGCGUAGAUAUCUGGAGGAACACCGGUGGCGAAGGCGGCGUUCUGGACGGCAUCUGACACUGAGAAACGAAAGCCAGGGGAGCAAACGGGAUUAGAUACCCCGGUAGUCCUGGCCCUAAACGAUGAAUGCUUGGUGUGGCGGGUAUCGAUCCCUGCCGUGCCGAAGUUAACGCAUUAAGCAUUCCGCCUGGGGAGUACGGUCGCAAGGCUGAAACUCAAAGGAAUUGACGGGGGCCCGCACAAGCGGUGGAGCAUGUGGUUCAAUUCGACGCAACGCGAAGAACCUUACCUGGGCUCGAAAUACAGAUGACCAUCGGCGAAAGUCGACUUCCGCAAGGACAUCUGCAUAGGUGCUGCAUGGCUGUCGUCAGCUCGUGUCGUGAGAUGUUGGGUUAAGUCCCGCAACGAGCGCAACCCUUGUUUCCUGUUGCCAUCGGGUCAAGCCGGGCACUCUAGUGAAACUGCCUCGGAUAACGAGGAGGAAGGUGGGGAUGACGUCAAGUCCUCAUGGCCUUUAUGUCCAGGGCUACACACGUGCUACAAUGGUCGGUACAAACCGUCGCAAACCCGUGGGGGGGAGCUAAUCGGAAAAAGCCGGCCUCAGUUCGGAUUGGAGUCUGCAACUCGACUCCAUGAAGCUGGAAUCGCUAGUAAUCGCGGAUCAGAACGCCGCGGUGAAUACGUUCCCGGGCCUUGUACACACCGCCCGUCACAUCACGAAAGUGGGCCGUACUAGAAGCAGGUGUGCUAACCGCAAGGAGGCAGCCUUCCAAGGUACAGCUCAUGAUUGGGGUG